AUUGAACGCUGGCGGCAUGCCUUACACAUGCAAGUCGAACGGCAGCGGACCUUCGGGUGCCGGCGAGUGGCGAACGGGUGAGUAAUAUAUCGGAACGUACCUUUCAGUGGGGGAUAACGUAGCGAAAGUUACGCUAAUACCGCAUAUUCUGUGAGCAGGAAAGCAGGGGAUCGCAAGACCUUGCGCUGAUUGAGCGGCCGAUAUCAGAUUAGCUAGUUGGUGAGGUAAAGGCUCACCAAGGCGACGAUCUGUAGCGGGUCUGAGAGGAUGAUCCGCCACACUGGAACUGAGACACGGUCCAGACUCCUACGGGAGGCAGCAGUGGGGAAUUUUGGACAAUGGGCGCAAGCCUGAUCCAGCAAUGCCGCGUGUGUGAAGAAGGCCUGCGGGUUGUAAAGCACUUUCAGUAGGGAGGAAACAGUAGCCGGUUAAUAUCCGGUUGCCUUGACGUUACCUACAGAAGAAG
rnacentral:rRNA from 1 species